GAUGAACGCUGGCGGCGUGCCUAACACAUGCAAGUCGAACGGAAAUUACGUACGGAAGUUUUAGGAUGGAAGACUGUAAUUCUUAGUGGCGGACGGGUGAGUAACGCGUGGGCAACCUGCCCUAUACAGGGGGAUAGCAGCUGGAAACGGCUGGUAAGACCGCAUAAGUCGGUUAAAUCGCAUGAUUUUAUCGGGAAAUGAGGAACCAGGUAUAGGAUGCGCCCGCGUCCGAUUAGCCAGUUGGAAGGGUAAAAGCCUACCAAAGCGACGAUCGGUAGCCGGACGGUGAGGUCGCACAGCGACAUUGAGACUGGGACACGGCCCCUACUCCUACGAGAGGCAGCAGUGGGUGAUAUUGCGCAAUGGAGCAGACUCUGAUGCAGCGACGCCGCGUGAGUGAAGAAGUAUUUGGGUAUGUCAAUCUCUAUCAGCAGGGCAGAUUAUGACGGUACCUGAAGAAGAAGCACCGGCUAACUACGUG
rnacentral:rRNA from 1 species